rnacentral:rRNA from 1 species
AACGAACGCUGGCGGCAGGCUUAACACAUGCAAGUCGAGCGCCCCGCAAGGGGAGCGGCAGACGGGUGAGUAACGCGUGGGAAUCUACCCAUCCCUACGGAAUAGCUCCGGGAAACUGGAAUUAAUACCGUAUACGCCCUACGGGGGAAAGGUUUAUCGGGGAUGGAUGAGCCCGCGUUGGAUUAGCUAGUUGGUGGGGUAAAGGCCUACCAAGGCGACGAUCCAUAGCUGGUCUGAGAGGAUGAUCAGCCACAUUGGGACUGAGACACGGCCCAAACUCGUACGAGAGGCAGCAGUGGGGAAUAUUGGACAAUGGGGGCAAGCCUGAUGCAGCCAUGCCGCGUGAGUGAUGAAGGCCUUAGAGUUGUAAAGCUCUUUCACCGGGGAAGAUAAUGACGGUACCCGGAGAAGAAGCCCCGGCUAACUUCGUGCCAGCAGCCGCCGUAA